rnacentral:rRNA from 1 species
AGUCGAGGGGCAGCAUGGUGUAGCAAUACACUGAUGGCGACCGGCAAACGGGUGCGGAACACGUACGCAACUUACCCAAAACUGGGGAAUAGCCCGGGGAAACCCGGAUUAAUACCUCGUAACAUAAUGAAGUGGCAUCACUUUAUUAUUAUAGCUCCGGCGGUUUUGGAUGGGCGUGCGCCUGAUUAGGUAGUUGGCGGGGUAACGGCCCACCAAGCCUACGAUCAGUAACUGGUGUGAGAGCACGACCAGUCACACGGGCACUGAGACACGGGCCCGACUCCUACGGGAGGCAGCAGUAAGGAAUAUUGGUCAAUGGACGCAAGUCUGAACCAGCCAUGCCGCGUGAAGGAUGAAGGUCCUCUGGAUUGUAAACUUCUUUUAUAUGGGAAGAAACCCAUCUUUUCUUGGGUGGUUGACGGUACCAUAGGAAUAAGCACCGGCUAACUCCGUGCCAGCAGCCGCGGUAAUACGGAGGGUGCAAGCGUUAUCCGGAUUCACUGGGUUUAAAGGGUGCGUAGGAGGGCAGGUAAGUCAGUGGUGAAAUCUCCAAGCUUAACUUGGAAACUGCCGUUGAUACUAUCUGUCUUGAAUACCGUGGAGGUGAGCGGAAUAUGUCAUGUAGCGGUGAAAUGCUUAGAUAUGACAUAGAACACCAAUUGCGAAGGCAGCUCGCUACACGAAUAUUGACUCU